ACACUUCUGAGGCACUCUGCAGAUCACAUUAAAGGAUUUAACCGGAAAAAUAUAAUGUCCAGCAUCUCUUUGGAAAACUUAAGCAUAUAACAAACUUAAUUUCCCACUUAUUCGAUCGCCUCGUGCACUAAAUUAACAAAUUGCUGCAGGUUGCAGAAAUUCAAAACUUGAGGAAGCCCUUCUCCAUGAGGCUUUCAACAGUGUCCUUGAGACUCGUUUCCAGAGGAAGGAAAGUGAUUCCCAAACAUUUUGCUUUCUCCCUUGGACACUUGAAACUUGGAGCCAGAAGGAUUGCCAGGCUCACAAAGGCUCAGUGUGGGGUAAAGCUCUCGUAAAAUCUUUAGAGUAUCGGGACCAUCAGCAACUUGUGCAACUAAACAAUAUCUGCCACUAGCUGAAGGAACUUCAAAUGCUUGAAUAUGAGCAAAGGCAACAUCUCUAACAUCCACAAAUGCAUAGUUUAUAAAAGGUGUUUCGAUACCUGAGCACAAAAGAGAAACAAAACAGAAUAAACCCUGGAUGUAUCACAAGGAAUAGUGUUUUAACAUAAAGGGGGUGAAUUGUACCACUCAUUAAAUUCAGAAGAAACUCGACGGAGAGAUUAAGAGUUGGCUGUAAGAGUGGACCAAUCACAAUCCCUGGAUGUAUUGUUACCAAGUCAAUCCCAUUUCCUUUGGCAAAAUUUCCAGGCGGCCUCCUCAGCUAAAGUUUUUGAGAGAGGAUACCAUUGCUGAACAAAUAAAGAAGGAAGUUCUUAUGAGUUUGUAGUUCAUCAUGUACUGCUUUGUAUUGUGUUAAGCUUACAUCUGUCUAAAAUUAUUCAAUAGUAUGGGAACGCACGUACCUUGAUCGUCUCACAAAAAAGUGGAUCCGAGUACCAUGUUUCAUCCAUAACCACAUCAGAGGUCAGAGGUUUUCCACUCAACCUUACUGAAGCCAGAGAAGAUGUUAAAACCACUCUCUUGACGGCAGGGAAUUUUGCGCAUGAUUUUAGAACAUUAAGUGUUCCUUUCACUGCAGGCUCAAUUAUUUCUACCUGAAACAUAGAAACGAAAUAAUAUUAUUCUAGUUUCUACAUCAUUUCUCUUGAAGGUGUAUCGAUUUUCAAUGCAUUCGUGAGCGCACACACACGAUACACUUUUUGAUGGAUGCAUGAACUGAAGGGACAGACCUGUGGGUCAGUGGCUGAAAAUUGUGCAGGCGAUGCUGUAUGAAAAACACCUACACAUCCAUCAAUUACGCCGUCAAAUGAUCCUUCUUCUACUAGAUCGGCUUUGAACAAAUGAAGCCUCUCCUUUGCUCCAUCUAAUGAGAGCAAGUGUUCUGUUUUCUUUGCAUCAUCUGUAUGCAAAACCCAGAAUCUGAAAUUAUUGAAUGAAUUGUUUGAAGUUGAACAGUAUAUAUGAGCAAGUGUAGAAAUACUGACUUGGAUCGCGAACAGUGGCUUUGACGGUAUAACCCUUUUGCAGUAAGAGCUUCACCAGCCAUGAUGCUAUGUAACCAGAUGCUCCUGUUACACAUACAGUCUUUGAUUCUCCGGUACUCAUUUCUCUCUCUCUCUCUCUCUCUCUCUCUCUCUCUCUCUCUCUCUAGCUAAGAAUUAAUAAGCUUAAUUUGGUUCAGAAUUGUGUUUUUCAUGGUGAAAGGUCAGCUGGAAAUUAAAGGUCAAUGUUGCCAACUUGUCUUCUUCAGCUCUGAAUACUUUUGUAAUGGCAAGCCAUUGUUUAUUUUGAAUGUUGACUAAACAGGUGUUGGGCAGGAACUAAUCUUAAGUUAGGGGUAGCACUUGUUCCAAAUGGUUGCAAGAAAUAUUAGGAGUCCUUUAACUAAUAUUUCUUUAAAAGUAGUGAAGUGAAGCAACAACUUCUUAGUAGGAAUCUCGUUUUAUUCUAGCAAAAACAGGAUACGGACUAGGAACCAUGUAUAUAGGACUCUUAUUUAUUUCACCAUCUCCCUUUUUUUCUUCAAUAUCUUAUACGGUAAUACACGCCACUGGGACAUGAAAUGGCUAUGAGAGAGAAUCUCUCACUAAAACUUAUGUCAUGGCAAAUUAUAGUUUAUUAUGAAUGUUGACAAAACAAAAUAGAAAAAUAUUAUGAAGGAAGAAGAAAUAUUAGUAUUGGCAGGAUAUUUCAAAUUCAAACACUUUGCAAACAUUUCAACACCUAAUCAGAAAUGAUUCAACAAACCAGUUUUUUCAUGCCUUUCUAAGAUUAUUUAUUUAUUUAUUUGGAAAAUUGUCCAUAUAUAUAUAUAUAUAUAUAUAUAUAUAUAUUUUGGUCAAGAAUAAAACUUACAAUUAAUUCUAGAAAGGCCUAAACCUAAACAAAACACAAUACCCUACACAACAAAGCAAUACAUAAAAUAGAAGACAAGCUCAAAAAGGAGAGCUACAACCCCAAUUACAGAGCGAGGCCCAUACAAAUUUAGGCCCGUUGACAACAACAACAAAAAAAAAAAACAAUAAAAAUCCUAAUCUCCAGCCGCCAAAAGUCAGUCACCACCGCCGUUAUCUCCACGAAACAUGUUACACUCCUGUAUUCUGUUAAAUCACAAGAACAUUACUACAAACAGAUGUCAAUCAUGUUCUAGGACAGUAAGGGGAAGCAACAAAUUAACUAGAGUGCACAUCGAUUUGACAACAUAAAACCCCAACACGUGAGGAAACGUCCUUGGACACUCCUUAAUUAGGGGUGCUUUAACAAAGAUUCUUUUAAAGUUGUGAAUUUGGACACUGAGAUCUAGUCACCUAUGUGGCUGUCUGCCGAUCAAUCUAAGAAACUAAGAAAGUCUUGACAGGAAAGACAUUGUUAUUUUUUGGGAGAGCAAUGAAUCAAAGUGACGCAUAACUGAAUCUCAAUGGAUCGAGCAUGGCAGCUAGGCCAAAUUAUUUUCAUUGGAAACAGGAAACAGAUGACUUUCAUCAUGUCUUUGGAGUACUCAAGCAGAAAUCAAACUUCCGUUGCCGAAGAUACUUGAACUGUUGUCCGAGUUGGAUAAAUCAAAUCUGCAGGAAGCCCUUCUCCUUCAUGCUUUCAACAGUGUCCCUCAGAGGUGAUUUCCAAUGGGUGGAAGCUAAGUCCCAAACCUGUUGCUUUCUCUGAGGAUACGUGAUAUCUUGGGUCUGAAGUAUUGCCAAUCUCAAAUCUGCCAACAAUUACCAAAAACAAUAGAAUAAUAAAUCCCUUAGAAAUAAUUCUUGUAAUAGAAAUGUCGAGCUUUCGGUGUACACAAUUGAGUUAUUUUGUACAAGCAUCUUUAAUUAUUGGAAGAAAUUCCUAACUGGUACAGAUUUCGUUUCCAAGUCCAAAUCUUAUGUUUAUUUCACUCUCUGAAAGAACUUACCUUCAAACAGAUUUGACCGUGUUUAAUUCUACAGAACGAUAUGACAUUAUGUGUGGUAAAGUAAACGGGCACAAAUUUGAGGCAUUUUGCAUAUGAAACUUACUUUUCAAGAAGCAAAGUGGGGGUAAAGUUCGUGUAAAAUCUUCAGAACCUCGAAAAUGUCUGCAACAUGUCCAACUAAACAAUAUCUUCAACUUGCUGAAGGAACUUCAAAGGCCUGAAUGUCAGCAGAGGCAACAUCUAUAACAUUAAUGAAUCUGCAGUUUGAAACAGUCGAUUGGGUACCUGCACAAUAGUGAAACAUAAGCCAAUCAACUGCUUCAAUAAAAAAAUUAGUGGAAAAUAAAAAUGGAAGCUGUAAGAGUGGACCAGUCACGAACCUCGGAUGUAUUGUAGCUAAAUCAAUCUCAUUUCCUUUAGCAAAUUCCCUGGCAGCUUUUUCUGCAGAACAAAAAGAAAAGGGGCAGAUAAUACUAAGCAUUAUCCAUCUCUUUUAUAAUUGCACCCAGACACCUUGUUUGGUGAUUAGAUUAGAUUAGAUUUUGUUUCAGCGCGACACAGAAAUAUAACAAAUUAACAAUGAAAAAAGAUAAUAAGAAUCGGAAAUUCAUACAUACCUUGUACUUCUCGCAAACAAGUGGAUCUGAAUACCAUGUUUCAUCCAAAACUACAUCAGAGGUCAGAGGUUUUCCGCUCAUCAUUACUGUACCCCUCUCUUGACAGUUGGAAAUUUCACACAUGGUUUUAGAACAUCAAGCGUUCCAUUCACGGCUGUGUUAACUAGUUCUGCCUGACAUAUGGACAGAAAUAUCAUGCUGGUUUCCACAUCAUUUGUCUUGAAAUUAUUCAUUCUACACGUGCACGCAGGAACAUAUGAUAGAGUAUUUGAAGCAUAAAGUGAACGGACAAACCUGUGGGUCAGUAGCCGAGAAUAGUACAGGUGAUGCUGUGUGAAAAACGGCUUCACAUCCAUCAACUGCAGCAUCGAAAGAUCCUUCUUCCAAUAAAUCUGCUUUGAACAAAUGCAGCCUGUCUUUUGCUCCAUCUAGUGAGAGCAAGUGUUCUGUUUUCUUUGGAUCAUCUGUAGCAUACAUGAACAGAACUAUGAGUUGAACCAAGAAUAGUACAACCACAUUAGAUAGGGACGUAUGUGUACAAGGCAAAGUAGCAAACAUUGACUAUAGUCAUUGCCAAUUGGCAAUUGAGCUAGGCCUACCAUAGUAUCCAUAACGAAAAAAAAAGAAGGCAAAUACUUGGUUCCUCCAAUUGCAAAUAGCAUCCUAUCCAAUCACAAUUUUCAUGUGUGCAGAAAUUGUUCUUUUUUUGUUUGUAACGAGUUAUUUCUGCAUACUUGUCAAACUCUGAUUUACGGGACAGAGAGACGACUUUCCAGGAAAGAGCCAAGAAGUGUCCAAAACAGAGUACAGAUUUGAUACGAAUUGUUUCAACUCUAUCAUUUAUGCAUAAAGUUUUGGCUAAUAAGCUUGAUCACUAACAGCUAGCAAGAAUGUCAAACCAGUUCAAGGCCUGGCAUUAACUGGACUUCAAGAAAUACACUAGAACUACAGAUGAAGACCUACACCGAAAAUUUUAGGAUUUUCUCUUGCUGGACGAAACGAUAUACAAAACACAGAACUAUCAAUCCAACAUCAAAUGAUCAUUAAUUCUUUGCUUCUUUACAAAUGACAAAUUCCAAAUGAUGUAAUCAGAGUCUAAACACUUUAUAGCACAUCUCAUACAUGAAAGUUAAUGCUCUAAAAUUCAACUCUCUCUCCUAAACCAUGAAAAGAGCAUCCAAAAAGUUCACCAAUUUUUUCAAAAAGCAAACUCUCUGCAAAUGCAAUUUCCUGAAAAAAAAUCCUGCUGAUCACUUUCAUUAGGGUCCAACUUUAGCUUGAUCACCUCCAUAUUCUUCCUUGCCCAACAAGUCACCCAAACCCCUAUUUCUUUUCUUGAACCUCUCCUCAACGCUCUCCAAACGCCGAAGCACAGUCUCCACCAGAAAAUCCUUGCCCCUGCAGUUAUCGAAAAACAAGUGCUUCAGCAGUGUCUCUGACGCCGGCCUCUUCGCUGGGUCUUGAUCAAGGCAAGAACCCACCAAGUCCUUGAAAGCCACAGAGUACUCCUUGUUCUUGAAAUCUUUGAUGAUGUUUUCGUAGUCAGAAAACUGGUACCUGUUCUUGACCUUUAGAAUCUGAGAUUCCAAUAACGGUGGCAGGCCAGACAGGGGAGGACAGCCGCGAGCCAAUUCCAGUGCCAUGAUCCCAAAUGCCCAGAUAUCCACCUUGCAUCCAUCUCCGUAGGGCGCCACCCUAUCUGGCAUUGCCGAAGUGUCGUUUGUCCCAGUUGGCGUUGCCGAAGUGUCGUUUGUCCCAGUUGAAUGAUCGGCGCCGUAGAAAGAAGCAGAGACCCCGAAAUCGGCGAGCUUAACGGACCCAUCAGAGUCAACCAAGAUGUUUCCGGGCUUGAUGUCGCCGUGGGUGUGUCCCUGGCCAUGGAGAUACGACAUGGCGUUUAGCGUCUCUUUCAGGAAGACAGCAAUGCAGGGCUCUGGUAAUCCUUGAGGGAAAGCAGGGGAGGAGAUUAUUAUGGACUGCAGAGAGCCGAAGGCCAUGAAUGGCAUGACCACCCAGAGACGGCGCUCGGCGGUGGUGAAGGAGCAAUGGUUGCUGAGAAUGUUGGGGUGGGAAAGAGACAGAGUCUUGGUGUCGCGGAGCUUGCUCUCGAAAUCGGCCGUGGAUUGGUCGAGGUCGACGGACUUUAUUGCGACGACUGCAGAGUUCAUGGGGAUGCAGACGGCCUUGUAGACGACAGCCUUGUCGCCAGAGCCAAUUUCUUGGAGGUUUUCAUACGCGGCCGAGUCCAACGGGAAUUGGACCUUUUGUGGGUUAUCUUGGCGGGUGGAAGAAGACGAAGAAGUCGCCAUUGGAUACGACAAAGAUGAAAUCUUGAAGAAUGGAAGUGGGUUGUUUUGAUUUCUGGGAAAUGGCUUUUGAUGGAGAAGAUGAAUGUAGGGAUUCUGCAGUACUAAUUCUAGUGAAAGGUUGAUGCUUUGGGAGGAAGACGACGAUGUAUGAGAAUGUGUGUGACUGUGUACUGCUCUGCUUGUACUUGCUUAUAUAAUAAGAAAUGGUAAGAAGAUGAGGGUAUUUUGGGGAUUUUCCAUUCCAAUUGGGGGUUGAAAUUAUAGAUAAGUUUUACUUCUUACCCCUAGAUUUUUUUAAUUAGCAAAAUCAACAACAUUCUGUUGUGAGGCGGUUUUGGUGAUUAGGAUUGGGUGAGGUUGGUUAAGAUAAAAUACAAUUGGUUCGUUUUCUGUUAUUUUCCAUCUCAGCAAUGUCUUGGGAGGCAAGGCAUUGUUAGUCCUGUUGUGAGUACCUCGUAUAAAUAUUUCGAAAGGAAUAUAAGCAUACAAACAAAAUACGUAUUUGAGACCCAAUUCCAAGAACAAAACUGACCUACUAACCUAUUGAAAUCAUUCUUCAAGACUAGAGAGACCAAAGUUUUAAACAAAUUUUGUAAACAAUACGACGUGAUUGUUGAUAACUGAAGUAAAUAAACCUAAAUACAAGAACUUAGACCAAAGACGACAUUUUAUUUCACAUGCUCACUUAUGAGCAGAAUGGCAUGAGAGAAUAUCCAAGUAGAUAUGUCAUGAAUUGUCGACGAUUUUGCUGACUAGCCGAACAACGAGGAGUUCCAUGAUCAGAAGAAGUUCUUCUCCUUCAAACCUUCAGCGGUGUCCUUCAAAGACACCUCCCGAGGAGUAAACUCAACAUCGAAAGUCUGAGCUCUUUCCUUGGAUAUCUGGUAAGUUGGCGUGAAAGGUCGAUCAUCUUUACAUCUACCCAAAAUAGAGUCACAUCAAUGUCAUGGAUCCCUUUAGCAAAACUACGUCUCUAGAUGACUUGACCAAAUCAACUCAAAAGAAACAGCAACCGAACAGUACCUUAGUGCAUAAGCAAACCUGUACUAUCCUUAGAAGCAGUUCAAUGUAGGACUAAGACGCAACAAUUUGGUUAUGUUUAGCAACUUACUUUUCGGGAAGUUUGAGAGCAGGGAAGAGAUCACGGAAAGUUUUGACAGCCACAGAACAGUGUGCUACGCUUCCAACUAUAGAAUACCUCCCACUAGCUGAAGGAUUCUCAAAGGCUAGAAUAUGCCAUUAGCAACAUCUCUAACAUCAACCCAUCUAUGAGUUACAUUUGGAUACUUUUUCGGUUCUUGCAUAAAUUGUACAUCCGGAACAAUUAAUAUUUUCAUAGAUUGUAAGUUAUCACAGACACAGAGGUAAUGAAGACAGCACAUGUGAUAUUACUACUACUGCCUACUGGUAGCAAGAGUUGCGUACUCAUGAUAACAGAAGGGAAGGGAAAAGAAAUUGUAAUUGAAUUUGAAUAUAGAAGAAACCGCAAAUAAUACUCGAGAAAGUCCCAAACAAUUAUAAAAGAUGUGCAUGAAACCAGUAAAAUGAACUUUGGAUGCAUGAGUUGUAUUGGUAUAGAAGUGAGAUAUGUUAGUUACUAAUAGCUUUCGAGGCAAGGAUUUAAAUGUAAGUCCUCUCUUCUGUACAAAAUGAAAAAGUUCUGGUGGAGAAACAUCGACUUGGCGACAGCUAAAAGAGAUGAAGGAAGUAUUAGCAUCUCAGAUUCUUACACUUACCAAAGACGUAUGGAUCUGGACACAACCAUUCCUGGAUUUACUGCAACCAAAUUGAUUCCAUUCUCCUCUGCAAACUUCCAAGCAGCUUCCUCAGCUGAGGUUUUUGAAAGCGGAUACCAAAGCUGAUAAAAACAAAGUCUCAAUGAGCACAAUGAACAUAUUUUUAUAUCAUGAAAGAAAUAAGAUUUAAACCUUCUCCGGUGAUGUUUUUAUUACAAGAGGAAUGCUAUGCAAUGCAACCAGACCAAGAUGAAUAAACAUACGAGCACCGAUUGUUCCAGUAUAUUUAGUAAGAAACUACGUCUUUCAGUUCAGAUUCACUACCUGGCAAGGCAUUUUUAAAGAGUUGUAAUAGCCUAAAAGUUACUCAGAACUAAACUCACUAAGAAAACCGAGGCGUAUUAGAUAAAGCAAAACAAGAAGUGACUUCUGCAAUGUAUGCAGUAAACAAUCAAACCAUUAAGAACAGAGAAAGAAAACAUAGUAAGAUGGUAAAGCAGAAAUUACAUAUUAUUGUAUGAACCUGGAUGCAUAUAAAUAUAUAAGGCCAAGUUCCAUCUGAUUUUCCAUUACAUAAACUAGAUCUUCAAGUGAAGCAUUCCUGAAUAAUGAAAGAGAAUUAGCGUAUUGUGUACAAACCUUUGAUUUUUCACAGAAAGCUGGAUCUGAAAACCAAGAUUCAUCGACUACUGCAUCAGCAGAAAGAGGUUUUCCAGUAAAUACAAUUGAUACGAUGGAGGAUGUUAGAACCAGUGGACUCCUAGAAAUGCAGCUUGUGUACUUAAAACUUCAGGUGGAGUUCCUGUUAGGUUAUUAGCUGAUACACGGAAAAACUUCAAGUUGCAAAGUAUCCCUAUGGAGCUCGGAAUCCCACCCUCGACAUUUUUGAACAAAAGAUAAAAAUAGGUAAGAGCUGUCAUGUUGCCAAAGGAAGCAGUGUCAUGUUGCCAAAGUAUCCCUAUGUAUUCUACUUAAAUAUUUUCGACUUGGGAUUACAGAAUGUUCAGGAUCCAAUACAAAGUUCAAACUUCAUAUUUCACAGUAUUUAAAACGUAGUUGAAACAAAUUCCAAAGUACAAUUAAACUUCACAGAAAGAGGUCUCAUGCAAGAGUUUUGUGAAUGUUGGAAGAAUGCAUGCAAGUCAUAUCUUGUGUUAAAAUACAUGCAUGAAAUAAACAUGUUGGAUGACUAGUGAAGUUAGGCUAGUCAACAUUCUUUGUGUAAAUUAGGCAAGUUAGGCAAGUUAGGAAAUUAGGCAUGUUAGGCAAGUUAGGCAAGUUAGGCUUAUGUCUACUUUCUUUUCCUAUAUAUAUGUUUCAUUUGUAAUUGUUUCUUCAUGAAAUACACAUCAAAAAUUCUACAUGGUAUCAGAGCAGGUUCAUUUGUAACCUGUCUCUGCCAUUCUUGCUGCUGCAAUUUUUUCUUUCUUUCAAAGUCUAAGUCAUGACUGAAGAAAGUUCUGUGAACCAUGAUGAGGAAACCCGGCACAAUCUCUCUCCAAACUUCUCAGACGUUGAGGUUAACACCAAUCAAUGUUUGUGUUCAGUUCUCUUGAACGAGUUCAAUUAUCUUCCUUGGUCCCGAGCUGUUUCACUAGCUCUUGGAGGCAAAGGGAAGUUAGGGUUUGUAAAUGGAAGCGUGGAAGCUCCAAACAGUUCUUCCUCUACAUACAAUGCAUGGCUCUGCAAAGAUCAACUUGUCAUGUCCUUGCUGCUCAACACCAUGGAGAAACAUGUUGCUGAAAUUUUUAGCUACUCCAAUUCCGCACAUGAUCUUUGGAAAGCUUUGCAGGAUAUGUAUGGAAAUCAAAACAACUAUGCACGGGUCUUCCAAUUAAAGAAGGACAUUGCCAGUGCUCAACAAGAAGGGAAAGCAUUUGUUCAACACCUUGGGAGCCUCAAAGCCAUGUGGAAUGAGUUGGAUGUAUAUCUUCCUCAUACCACAGAUCCUACCAUUCUCCUAAAACGAGCUGAGGAAGACAAAAUUUAUCAGCUGUUAGGGAGUUUGAGCUCUGAGUACGAGGACCUAAGGAGUCACAUCUUGAUGAGUCAAGACCUGCCUACCUUCAACAAUGUUUGUGCAACUAUCCAACGAGAAGAAGCAAGGAAGAAGGUUAUGAAUGUUGAUCACAAUCCUAGAUUAACAGAGACUCGGGCAUAUGCAUCAAAGUACAAGAACUCAGAAGCCAAGGUAUACAAGGGAAGAAACACACAUCUAAAAUGCAAAUAUUGCAAUGGUGUUGGUCAUGAGGAAGACAAGUGUUGGGAACUUCAUCCUGAACUCAAGCCUAAGUUCAGCAAAGAUGGAAGGAUGAUACCAAGGUCCUCACAGCAAUUUCAACCUCAUUUCAAGGCACAACUUGUUAAUGCUCACGCUCCUACUAUCUCACAAGGAUCCAUGGAGUUCACUGCCAAUCCAUUGUCAUUGAUCAAUGAAUUUGCAGCUUACCUACAAAGUAAGGGGCACGGAGGAGGCUCACAUGGUCAAGGCAAUGAAGAGGGUAGUCACACAGCUAUGUUGGGACAAUUUGCCGGAUUUCUUGCUGGAAAUGAGAAAGUUCCAAAGGGAGAAGCAUCAGGUAUACUCAAAGCCUUUACUACUGCCCUAUUAACUAGUACUGAAAUUGAUUGUUGGAUAAUUGAUUCAGGCGCCACAGAUCAUAUGACAAACAAAGUUACAAAUUUACAUCAUUUUAAAAAAUUUUCAAGCCCCUCACAUGUGUCUGUUGCAAAUGGAAAAAAUGUCUUAGUUUUGGGAAAGGGAGAAAUAAACUUACUCUCUCAAAAAACACCUUCCACUGCCCUCUAUGUACCAACCUUUCCCUUUCAACUUUUGUCAAUUGGAAAGAUCACCAACACCCUAAACUGCCGUGCUAUUUUCUCACCAAAUAAAGUAAUGUUUCAGGAUGUUCUCACCAUGAAGAUGAUUGGUGAAGGGGUCUUCAUAAAUGGACUUUACUACUUGUGCAAGAAUGCAUGUUUCACUCAGGCUCUUCAAGCUCAAUCAAAGUCCAUAGAUGAAAACCAACUUUGGCAUAAGAGAUUAGCUCACCCCUCUGAACUUGUCUUGUCGAAACUGUUUCCAAAUUUUUGUAACCCCUAUCCUACUUGUGAUACUUGUCAAUUUUCUAAGUUUACUAGGCUACCUUUUGGUAAUUCAAUGUCUAGGACAAGUAAACCUUUUGAAAUGGUACACACCGAUGUAUGGGGACCUGCAACUGAAUCAAUGGAAGGUUUUAAAUAUUUUGUUCUAUUUGUUGAUGAUUUCUCUCGAACAAGUUUUCUAUAUCUUAUGAAAUCAAAAAGUGAAGUCCCUACCAUUUUCAAAGACUUUCACAUGCAUGUUAAAACGCAAUUUCAAUCAAACAUUAAGGUUUUAAGGUCAGAUAAUGGCACUGAAUUUCUAUCCAACAACAUGCUUCAAUACAUAAGUUCUCAGGGUAUCAUACAUCAAACCAGCUGUGUGGGAACUCCCCAACAAAAUGGAGUAGCCGAAAGGAAAAAUAGAGAUCUCUUGGAAAAAACUCGUGCUCUCAUGAUUCACAUGCACGUUCCAAAGAAAUUUUGGUCGUUUGCCAUCCUUACUGCCACUUAUCUCAUAAAUCGACUUCCAAGUCGUGUGCUAGGGUUUAAAUCUCCAUAUGAAGUUCUCAAGGGGAGGAAAAUAGAUUUGACACAUCUCAAGGUGUUUGGUUGUGUGUGUUUUGUUCACAUCCAAACCUUGAACCGUGACAAACUAGAUGCCAGGGCAAUCAAGUGUGUGUUUAUGGGAUACUCGACCACUCAAAAGGGAUACAAGUGCUUCAAUCCAGUCACUAAGAAGUGCACAGUUUCAAGAGAUGUGAAGUUCGAAGAAGACUAUCCCUAUUUUACAAGUCAGGGGGAGGAUUUAGUUGACAUGUUCCCACUCCCUCAAAACUUUAAUUAUCCGAUGUUGGAAAAGAGAUCAGUCAUUUUAAGUCCAGAUUGUGAAGAAGUUCAAACUGACCAAAUUACUGCCAAUGAGAGUGAAGACGAGCCCUACUCUGAUCCUUCUCCGCCUUCUACAGAGUCUCAGGUGAUUAAAAGAAAUCCUCCUCGAAUCAGAAAACCUCCAGCUAGGUUGCAGGACUAUGUUACAUAUGCCUCACGACAUCCAAUCAAUGAAUGUAUCAGCUUUAGUAAGUUCUCAACAUCUCAUGCUGCAUUUCUCAGUGAAAUUGAUAAGCACUAUGAACCAAGAAGCUUUCAAGAAGCUUCUCUUCUCCCACAAUGGAACCAAGCCAUGAAAGAAGAGAUUCGUGCACUGGAAGAGAAUUGCACCUGGAGCCUAGUUCAACUACCACCAGGAAAAAAGGCUGUUGGAAGUCGUUGGAUUUACAAGACUAAAUUCAAAGCUGAUGGAUCUAUCGAGAGACACAAGGCUAGACUUGUUGCUCGAGGUUUCACCCAAACCUUUGGUGUAGAUUAUAAGGAAACAUUCGCACCGGUGGCCAAGAUGAACUCAGUCAGGGUUUUACUGUCAGUUGCAAUCAAUUGUGGAUGGUCACUCUACCAAAUGGACGUGAAGAAUGCUUUCCUUCACGGCGAGCUGCAGGAAGAAGUGUAUAUGCAACCUCCUCCUCCAGGCUAUGAUGGUAUUAAAGGCAACAUGGUUUGUAAAUUGCACAAGGCAAUAUACGGAUUGAAACAAUCACCAAGAGCUUGGUAUGCCAAGCUUAGUUCUGUUCUGGAAAAGGCUGGAUUCAUGCGAAGUAAUGCUGAUUCUUCGUUAUUUGUAAGAACUGGCACCAGGGGGAAGUUGGUGGUCCUCGUCUAUGUUGAUGAUCUUAUCAUCACUGGAGAUAAUACCGUGGAGAUUGAGGCACUAAAAACUCUCACUACAUCAAGCUUUCGCUAUCAAAGAUUUGGGGAGGUUAAAGUAUUUUUUGGGGAUCGAAAUGGCAACAUCUUCAAAAGGACUGUUUCUACAUCAAAGGAAAUAUGUAUUGGACCUCCUUCAAGAAGCAAAAAUGCUUGACUGCAAGCCUGCUAUCACUCCCGUUGAUUGUAAACUGAAGCUCAGCAUAGAUGGAGAAGCCAUGCAUGAUGUAAGCUACUAUCAACGAUUAGUAGGCAAGCUCAUAUACCUCACUAUCACUCGUCCAGAUAUCACAUAUGCAGUGAGCUUGGCUAGUCAGUUCAUGCACUCUCCCACUGUUGAUCACCUUAACCUUGUUAAGAGAAUCCUUCGUUAUCUUAAGGGUUCAAUUGGGCAAGGAAUUACAAUGCAUAACAAUCAGUCCACUGUCAUUAGUGGCUACACAGAUGCAGACUGGGCAGGUAAUGCAAUUGAUAGGAAAUCAAUCACAGGCUAUUGUACAUUUGUUGGUGGAAACCUUGUCACAUGGAAGAGUAAGAAGCAACAGGUAAUUGCUCGUUCCAGCGCAGAAGCUGAGUAUCGAGCCAUGGCAGCCACUGCGUGUGAACUCAUUUGGCUUAAAGGGCUUCUUUCAGACUUAGGGUUUCCUAGUUCUACUCCUAUGACGCUUAUGUGUGAUAAUCAGGCAGCCAUGCACAUUGCUGCCAAUCCUGUGUUCCAUGAAAGAACCAAACAUAUUGAAGUGGAUUGUCAUUUCAUCCGAGCUCAAGUUCAAACGCAAAUCAUCCGGACCAUGUUCACACGAAGCCAUGAUCAACUAGCAGAUCUUUUUACAAAGGCACUAGCAUCAUCUCAGUUUCAUCGGUUAUUGGGCAAGCUUGGCUCAGUGAAUCCCUUCGAUCCAGCUUGAGGGGGAGUGUUGGAAGAAUGCAUGCAAGUCAUAUCUUGUGUUAAAAUACAUGCAUGAAAUAAACAUGUUGGAUGACUAGUGAAGUUAGGCUAGUCAACAUUCUUUGUGUAAAUUAGGCAAGUUAGGCAAGUUAGGAAAUUAGGCAUGUUAGGCAAGUUAGGCAAGUUAGGCUUAUGUCUACUUUCUUUUCCUAUAUAUAUGUUUCAUUUGUAAUUGUUUCUUCAUGAAAUACACAUCAAAAAUUCUACAGUGAAACACCAAUUAUUUUCUGUAACAAAUUUUUACAUAGUUGAUAAAAUGGGACUUGACGUUACAAUGGUAAGUCCCAAGUGAUCCAUGGCUAGAAGAAGUUUUUCUCCUUCAAACUUUCCACGGUAUCCCUGGUAAGUUGGUGUGAAUCAUUUGUCAUCUGCACAUCUGUGAAGAACACACAGACGUUAAACUUUCAAAUCUGAAGUCCAAAUUAUCUGUCACACAAAUUAGCAACUACGAAGAAUAUGCAAAUCACUCACUGUACAGACCAUUUCACUUGCAGUUUGUACAUCACUCACGGUACCUCAGACCAAGGCAGGGAUUCUUUAUGAAAUACUUAGUUUCUCAAAGGCUAGAACGAUAUAGGCUUGAUAAAGAUAUUGUUCUAUAUUAAUAGGAUCUCAGGCAUGCCAGUUGUAACCCAAAUAUCCUCAGACACGAAUACUACAAAUUAUAUGCAAGAUGGAAUUGCCGAGGGUUCAAUUGGCAAUUUAGCUAGGCCAACCUUAGUAUCCAUAACCGAAAAAAAGAAGGCAACUACUCGGUUCCUCCAAUUGCAAAUAGCAUCGUACUUACAUGCCAAUCACAAUUUCAAUAUUUCACGUGUGCAGAAAUUGUUCUUUUUGUUUUUGUAAUGAGUUAUUUCUGCAUACGUGUCAAAGUAUAAUCUACAGGACCAAGGGAUGACUUCUUCCGGGGAAAGAGCCAAGAAGUGUCCAAAAAAGAGAAUACAAAUUUGACACGAACUGUUUCAACUCUCAUUUAUGCAUAAAGUUGUGGUUAAUAAGCUUAAUCGCUAAAAGCUGGCAAGAAUGUCGAAAACAGUUCAAGGCCUUGCCUUAACUGGACUUCAAGAACUACACUUGAACUCCAGAUGAAGACCUACACCAAAAGAUCUUCUUUCGCUGAACGAAACGAUAUACAAAACACAGAACUAUCAAUCCAACAUCAAAUGAUCUUUAAUUCUUUGCUUCAUUACAAAUGACAAAUUCCAAAUGAUGUAAUCAGAGUCUAAACACUUUAUAGCAUAUCUCAUACAUGAAAGUUAAUGCUCUAAAACUCAAUUCUCUCUCUUUCCUAAACCAUGAAAAGAACAUCCAAAAAGUUUACCAAUUUUUUCAAAAAGCAUACUCUCUGCAAAUGCAAUUUCAUGGAAAAAUCCUACUAAUCACUUUCAUUAGGGUCCAACAAGUCACCCAAACCCCAAUUUCUUUUCUUCAACCUCUCCUCAACGCUCUCCAAACGCCGAAGCAUAGUCUCCGCCAGAAAAUCCUUGCCCCUGCAGUUGUGGAAAAACGAGUGCUUCAGCAGCGUCUCUGCUGCCGGCCUCUUCGUAGGGUCCUGAUCAAGGCAAGAACCCAUCAAGUCCAGAAAAGCCACAGAGUACUUCUUGGUCUUGAAAUCUUUGAUGAUGUUUUCGCAAUCUGAAAACUGGUACCUCUUCUUGACCUUCAGAAUCUCAGACUCCAAAAACAGCGACAGACGAGACAUAGGAGAGCCACCGUCAGCCAAAUCGAUCGCCGUCCUCCCAAAUGCCAAGAUAUCCGCCUUGCAUCCACCUCCAUUGGGCGCCACCCUAUAAGGCGUUGCCGAAGUGUAGUUUGUCCCAGUUGAAUGAUCGGCGCCGUAGAAAGAAGCAGAGACCCCGAAAUCGGCGAGCUUAACGGACCCAUCAGAGUCGACCAAGAUGUUUUCGGGCUUGAUGUCGCCGUGGACGUGUCCCUGGCCAUGGAGAUACGACAUGGCGUUUAGCGUCUCUUUCAGGACGACAGCAAUGCAGGGCUCUGGUAAUCCUUCCGGGAAAGCAGAGGAGGAGAUUAUGGACUGCAGAGAGCCGAAGGCCAUGAACGGCAUGACCACCCAGAGACGGCGGUCAGCGGUGGUGAAGGCGCAAUGGUAGCUGAGAAUGUUGGGGUGGGAAAGAGAAAAAGUCUUGGUGCCGCGUAGCUUGCCCUCGAAAUCGGCCGUGGAUUGAUUGAGGUCGACGGACUUGAUUGCGACGAUUGCAGAGUUCCUGGAAACGCAGAUGGCCUUGUAGACGACGGCCUUGCCGCCGAAGCCAAUUUUUUCGAGGUUUUUGUACGCGGCGGAGUCUAUCGGGAAUUGAACCUUUUGUGGGUUAUCAUGGUGGGAGGAGGAAGACGAAGAAGUCGCCAUUGGAGACGACAAAGAUGAAAUCUUGAAGAAUGGAGAAGAUGAAUGUAGGGAUUCUGCAGUACUAAUUCUAGUGAAAGGUUGAUGCUUUGGGAGGAAGACGACGAUGCAUGAGAAUGUGCGAGUGUGUACUGCUCUGCUUGUAUUUACUUAUAGAAUAAGAAAUGGUAAGAAGAUGAGGGUUUUUUGGGGAUUUUCUAUUCCGAAUGGGGGAUAAAAUUAUAGAUAAGUUUUAAUUUUUUGCCCCUUGAUUUGGUUAAUUAGCAGAAUCAUCAACAUUCUGUUGUGAGGCGGUUUUGGUAAGCAGGAUUGGGUGAGGUUGGUUAAGAUAAAAUACAGUAAGUUCGUUUUCUGUUAUUUGCCAUCUCAGCAAUGUCUUGGGACGCAAGGCAUUGUUACUCCUGUUGUGAGUACCUCGUAUAAAUAUUUCGAAAGGACUAUAAGCACACGAACAAAAUACGUAUUUGAGACCCGUAAGUUCAUGAACAAGACUGAUCCACUAACCUAUUAAAAUCAUUCUUCAAGAUGUCAUUAAAAGUCAAGUAAGCCUUAAAAAAAAAAAAACAGGUGAUUUUUUUUUUUUUUUGCUAAUGUAACCAAAUUGUGUAAAAAAAUAUGACGUGAUCGUUGAUAAUUGAACUAAAUAAACCAAAACGCUAGAACUUCCUCUGGACCAAAGAUGACAUUUUAUUCCACAAGCUCACUUAUGAGCAGAUUGGCAUGAGAGAAUAUACAAACUCUGUGCAACAAGAUUCUUAAGCUGGCCCAACCAUUCCAUCAACUUUCCAGGUAAUUGAUUGUUCCCCAAAUGAAGAAGAGAAGGUGUAUAAAUUAAACAAAGAACUGUAAGGACUCAAGCAAGCCCCCCGAGUUUGGUACAGUGAGAUUGACUCUUACUUCAGCAAUAGUGGAUUCAACAAAAGUCCUAGUGAAGCUGCACUCUACACAAAGUUUCCGUCCUUUCAAGGGUAAUUUUCUUAGAUGGGCCCAAUCUCAAAGUUUCCGUCAUAUCGAGCUAAAAAUAUAGGUAACGGGUUAAGAUGUGUGGUUUUCCAUGAGAACGAUGAUCAGUUGGGAAGAUGCAUCAACUGGUAAUCAUACUACAGCGUAUCAAAAGAGUAAACUAGAGGUGUAUUUGCCUGGUUUGGACCUAGUGUUCUUAAGCUCUGAGAAAAAUGAAUUUGAUUGAAAAUUCACAAUUUUUGUGAGUUGAAGGUCCUGAACUACAUCUAGCUUAUAUAGUCAAAGAAAUCUGCUGUGUCCUUCCUUAUAGGGAGUGACUAAGGGCAAUUUGAACAUUUAGCUAGGACCAGCUCUGUGCCAUCGCCGGAAGUUCAUACGAAUUGACUGUGCGUUCGUACGAAGGCAUGUCGCAUAGGCACUUGUGCCUGACGUCUGCAGCCGCAGACACAUUGAAGAACGACGAUAUUGGGGAAAGAAAUCUUAAUUUCAAGAUAUAUCAAGAGUGCCCUAAUUAGGAUUUCUUUGAAGAGUAAAGACAAUUUCAACUUGAACUAUUUCAUUUAGAGAUAUUGGGCAACAUUAUUAAUUACACAUGAGCCACAUAUCAAAGAUCUUAAGCAACUCCUGAGCAUUUUCGUAGACAAUUCUGAGGCUCUCUGCAGAUUACAUUUAAAUUAUUUAACAGGAAAAAUCUAUUGGCCCUCUUUGGAAUAUUUAAGCAUAAAACAAACUUCAUUUCCCACUUAUUCGCCUCGUGCACUAAAUUAACAAAUUGCUGCAGGUUGCAGAAUUCAAAACUUGAGGAAGCCCUUCUCCUUGAGGCUUUCAACAGUGUCCUUGAGACUCGUUUCCAGAGGAAGGAAAGUGAUUCCCAAACCUUUUGCUUUCUCCCUGGACACUUGAAACUUUGUGUCAGAAGGAUUGCCAAGCUCAGGAAGGCUCAAUGUGGGGUAAAGCUCUCGUAAAAUCUUUAGAGUAUCG
rnacentral:lncRNA from 1 species